rnacentral:misc_RNA from 1 species
GCUACCUUUGCCAAUUUCAAUCACCUGCCAUUACAAACCCACAUUUAAAAUAAAUAAAUAAAUAAAAAUUAAGGGGCAUGAAACAAAGAGAUAAGAUUGUAUAUAAAUGCAAUUAGAUUCUAAAACAUGCCACAGAUUAUCUAUGACGUAACAGAAUGGUUGCGUAUGGUUAGGAACCAAACUAAAAUGCAGUUCCUAAUUUGACUUAAUUUGCUUCUGUUUAUUCUCUUCCUUGUAAAGCAAACGCCUCUUGUUUGAACCAUAUCCAUGGUACUGGUAGAUAAUGCUGUAAAGACACUGUCUAAGGUAUGUGACAUCGAAGGCCUCGAUAAAUUUUAGAUCAUUAACUCUUGAUUUCGCACCAGCAAAAUGUCGGUAUUCCUCAACCACAGAAGGCAAGCACCAAUUUUGUAGUUUUCUAAAGCAACCAACAAGACAACCCGUCCGAUGCUGCAGGAAAGGAAAUGAAAAUAGAACGUAUAACGUCAGAACAUCCUUUUAUAAAGAUCAUAUCAUAAACAAACUGUAAGCAAUCCAUACGAUGAUAGAUUGCAACUCAGGGAAGAGUUUCACAAGAAAAAUAUACGAUGAUAUAUCAACCAUACAGUGUUGACAAUAGAUAAAAGGCCAAACAAAUAUAUGAAAUAAAUGAUCUGAUACCUCUGUUAUGCCUAAUAAAAUAUUUAAAUUAGAUAGAGUUAGUAGGUAUUAUUAGUUUAGGCCAAUGAACAAAUUCCUGAGGCAUAUGGGUAACUGGGCCUAGAGAGGUCUUCAAUCAUGGUAACAUGAUACAAAUGAAACUGGUUGUACAUUAUCUGAAUGCCACAAUGUCAUAUUACCAGAUGUUAAUGAAUUUAUUUCAAUACCCUGUAAGAAGAGGUUCCUGUUCUUCCUGAAGUUAGCACUUCUCCAACUAGCACCGUUUAGGAAAAUCAUUGGUUGUAGGGGUAUCAAGAUAUAGUUAUAUAACUGAACUUCCUUCAGGUUUAAUUCAUAAGUUGAAGAACAAUACAGAAGCAUGUAUCACAAUGAUACGAAAAGCAUAUAAUGAUUAAUCACAAGCUGAUAAGUGAUAAUAUUUUACAUAUUGAUCCUGAAAGCAGCAAUGUUGCAUAUAGCUAGGCUACUUUUACAAGGAUCAAGCACAUACAGAAGUAAAAAACGAGAAAAAGGUCACAAAACACAAAUUUGAAUUGAACAUACCUUUCCACGUUUGCAAUGAAUCAGAACUGGAUGAUUCCUCACAUCAAUUAAGACUUUCAGAGCCUCCAUUAUAGUAUCCCUCAGAAUAGAUACAGAAGGCUCCUGCAGAUACAAAUGAUUAUAGACAACAGUAUGAGUAACAGAGGGCAAAAAAACAACAGACUCCAUAUGACAUAAUCACUGUUAGUACAGUAUUAUACAAUCAGCACAAAGAAUAAAGAAAUCAUGACCAAACUACCAUAGAAGUUAUAAUAAAGAAUACCCAAGUGACCAAAAAUUUUUUCAAGGAGGCAUUUAAGUAGCACAAAAUUUCUGAUAUGGCUUCUGUUUAGCAGCAAAAUGCUACGUAUGUAGCAUUGAUACUCUAUUACCAAAUGCAUAGUACACAAUAGAGGCAUGCUGGAGUGGAGAUCAUAACAUAUAUUAUGUGUUUUCAACCCUGAAGAAUUGAAGAAAAGAAAAAAAAUUACCGUCUUCCCCUCAAUUCCAAACUGGAAUAGUUUAAUAUUAUGAGCACGAAGAAACUCCAUAUUCUCUUGUGGAUAUGGCUCAAAGCACAAGUAUCUGCUCCAAAUUCCAAACACAAACAAAUCACAAUGGUCAACCGAACAUUCAGUAAAAAGAAAACAAGUAUAUACAUAUCGAAUCAAUCUAGCCCUUACUCCAAUUCUUUCAAAUUGUUUUCUUUCAGUAUCAAGCAAAAGAAAAAAAAAAAAAAACCCACAAAGUUGAAUGAUAAUAUUUAGAUUCGAAAAUACCGUUUUCCGUUAAAUUUGAACAGUAACAAGGCGUACCUUGAAGGAACACUCGCAUGGUCCUUUCCGCUACCAUAGAGGACCAUGGAAAAUCACGCUAUGAAGCCCCCAUCACAAGCUUUUAAAUAUAUUAUAUAAUUACAAAGAUACAAAAGUUUCGAAUUUUUUCCUUUUUUUAUUAAAUACAUAUAAUCAAUUAAUGACAAAAAGAGCUCACCUCUGAUGAACUCGCCAACAUUCCCCUCACUACCUGCAACAAAGUACAUGUAAAAAAAAUUAUAAUUUUUAGGUGCCUGUGGGAAGAAGGGAAGAAAGGUGUCAAGGAGGAGAAGGAGGAGGUGUUAGUGGUGGUGGUGGUGGUAGAAGAGACUAUAUGUGUCAAAAGCCUGCCUUCAAAGAACACCUGCUUGGAAGGGGUAUAGAGCAAAGCAAGAUAUAUGGAGGAUGGAAGAGAGAGUGAUAGAGAAGUAGUCUGUGUGUCAAUCAAGAAGCAGACGCUUGAGGGUUGUGUCUAUCAAGAAUAAGAAUUAAUCAAGGGUUUUGAAUGAAAGAAGAAGGGGGUGAGGAAACACUUGCAAGUGGGAACCUGACAGAGAGAGAGGUGAGCACGCACCCUGCAACUGUAUGGCCUCAUACAAUUGCUUGCGUGUGCUCACUCUCUUCUGUCAGUCUCUCUAGUGUCCCUCUUUUUAUUUUCUUUUGGCUCUUUCUCCUUUUCACCUUCAGAUCUGAAUCCACAAAACACACCUAUUAUGAACAAUAAACACAAAACCCACCAACUUAUAUAUCAUAUUCAUAUAAAAAAAAAAAAAAAACCUCCAAACACCAUAGCUAGGUUUCCCCACUCAACCAAAAGAGAAAAAAAAAUCCAUUCAUGCUUUCUAUAUCUGUAGCUAUACACCAGUUCCUGACUGCAAAAACCCAACCCAAGUUCAGCUUUUUCCUAAACAAUAAGAAUUAAUGGAGAGAAAGAAGAAAAGGGUCCUUUUCUGAUCGGGUGCAAAAGCAAAUGGGUCGUAUAUGACCUGAAGAGUUUGCUGAAAGCCGGGAAAGGAAGAUUGAUGGAAAUCUCAUUAGCAUGGUGAAUUG